CUGGUUGAUCCUGCCAGUAGUCAUAUGCUUGUCUUAAAGAUUAAGCCAUGCAUGUCUAAGUAUAAGUAUCAUACAGCGAAACUGCGAAUGGCUCAUUAAAUCAGUUAUAGUUUAUUUGAUAAUCAAAUCUACAUGGAUAACUGUGGUAAUUCUAGAGCUAAUACAUGCUGUCAAACCUGACUUCUGGAAAGGUUGUAUUUAUUAGAUAUCAAACCAUCAUUGGUGAUGAUUCAUAGUAACUGAUCGAAUCGUAGUCCGCUACGAUAAAUCAUUCAAGUUUCUGCCCUAUCAGCUUUCGAUGGUAGUGUAUUGGACUACCAUGGCAGUCACGGGUAACGGAGAAUUAGGGUUCGAUUCCGGAGAGGGAGCCUGAGAAACGGCUACCACAUCUACGGAAGGCAGCAGGCGCGUAAAUUACCCAAUCCCAAUUCGGGGAGGUAGUGACAAGAAAUAACAACUCGGGCGGCGCAAGCCGUUGCGAGAUUGCAAUGGGUACAAUUUAAAACACUUAACGAGUAACAAUUGGAGGGCAAGUCUGGUGCCA
rnacentral:rRNA from 1 species